GAUUUCUGGUUCGGCGCACUUGGCCCGUCUCGGUUUACGAGAUUUGCGUGCCGGUGUGCGCCAUCCAUCCUUCGAUGCAGAUCGUUCUUACCCUUUACUGGGUCGAGGGCGACUCUCUCGAUCUUUUACUUUGAAAAAAUUAGAGUGUUUAAAGCAGGCUUGCGCUAUGAAUACAUUAGCAUGGAAUAAUAAUUUAGGACUUUGGUCUUAUUUUGUUGGUUUCUAGGACUAAAGUAAUGAUUGAUAGGGACAGUUGGGGGUGCUAGUAUUCAGCGGCCAGAGGUGAAAUUCUUGGAUUCGCUGAAGACUAACUUAUGCGAAAGCAUU
rnacentral:rRNA from 1 species